GUGUCAGCCGCCGCGGUAAUACGUAGGUGGCGAGCGUUGUCCGGAUUUACUGGGCGUAAAGGAUGCGUAGGCGGAUAUUUAAGUGGGAUGUGAAAUCCCCGAGCUUAACUCGGGGGCUGCAUUCCAAACUGGAUAUCUAGAGUGUCGGAGGGGAAAGUGGAAUUCCUAGUGUAGCGGUGAAAUGCGUAGAGAUUAGGAAGAACACCAGUGGCGAAGGCGACUUUCUGGACGAUAACUGACGCUGAGGCAUGAAAGCGUGGGGAGCAAACAGGAUUAGAUACCCCGGUAGUCC
rnacentral:rRNA from 1 species